rnacentral:rRNA from 1 species
AGAUUCUCCCAAUUGUUGCUUCGGCGGGACUUCGCGCCCGCCGGGGACCCGAACCUUCUGAAUUUUUUAAUAAGUAUCUUCUGAGUGGUUAAAAAAAUGAAUCAAAACUUUCAACAACGGAUCUCUUGGUUCUGGCAUCGAUGAAGAACGCAGCGAAAUGCGAUAAGUAAUGUGAAUUGCAGAAUUCAGUGAAUCAUCGAAUCUUUGAACGCACAUUGCGCCCGUCAGUAUUCUGGCGGGCAUGCCUGUUCGAGCGUCAUUACGCCCCUCAAGUCCCCUGUGGACUUGGUGUUGGGGAUCGGCGAGGCUGGUUUUCCAGCACAGCCGUCCCUUAAAUUAAUUGGCGGUCUCGCCGUGGCCUCCUCUGCGCAGUAGUAAAACACUCGCAACAGGAGCCCGGCGCGGUCCACUGCCGUAAAACCCCCCAACUUUUUAUAGUUGACCUCGAAUCAGGUAGGACUACCCGCUGAACUUAAGCAUAUCAAUAACGGAGGAAA